GCAAGCAGUCAAGCAGACGGUGGUCGCCGUUUCUCCUCCCGCGUCUCCUGCCGGCCUGCCCGUUCUUCGUCGGCUGCUGCCCCGGCCCCUGAAUCCCUGCUGCCCUACUUGUUCUUUGUCGGCAGAUGCCUGUCGUCCCGGACUCCCUUCCCAUUCUUCAGCAGUAGCAGGGGAUGGCAAAGAUCAGGGCAGAUCGCAGAGGCUCCUUGUGGCGGAGUGACCACGGCACAACUGCACGACAUGGGCAUGGGGACAUAGCGAACGGUGAGUGUCCAAACUCCAUACUAAAAUGAUUUGAUUUGUAUAUUGCUGGCUGCUUGUGUGGAUUUGACGUGGAGUGGGUGUGAUCUAACAAGAGUAGGAUUUUGGCAAGAUGGAAGUUUUCAUUGGCUGUGAUGUUUUAGUGAUGUAUUCGCCGUGCUUCUUUGGACUCUGAAGAAAGACACAAAGACAAUAGUAUUUAUGUUAACUUGGAAAUUUGAAUGCAGUUGUUCUGGC
rnacentral:lncRNA from 1 species